UAAAAAGUUCCGCAGGCA
rnacentral:tRNA from 1 species